rnacentral:rRNA from 1 species
CUCGUAGCUUGCUAUGAGAACAAUUAGUGGCAGACGGGUGAGUAAUGCAUAGGAAUCUACCUAGUAGUAUAGGAUAGCCACUAGAAAUGGUGGGUAAUACUGUAUAAUCCCUGCGGGGGAAAGAUUUAUCGCUACAUGAUGAGCCUAUGUUAGAUUAGCUAGUUGGUGGGGUAAUGGCCUACCAAGGCAGCGAUCUAUAGCUGGUCUGAGAGGAUGAUCAGCCACACUGGAACUGAGACACGGUCCAGACUCCUACGGGAGGCAGCAGUGGGGAAUAUUGGACAAUGGGCGCAAGCCUGAUCCAGCUAUGCCGCGUGAGUGAGGAAGGCCUUAGGGUUGUAAAACUCUUUCAGUGGGGAAGAUAAUGACGGUACCCACAGAAGAAGUCCCGGCAAACUCCGUGCCAGCAGCCGCGGUAAUACGGAGGGGGCAAGCGUUGUUCGGAAUUAUUGGGCGUAAAGGGCAUGUAGGUGGUUUGGUAAGUUAAAGGUGAAAUGCCAGGGCUUAACCCUGGAGCUGCUUUUAAUACUGCCAGACUGGAGUCCGGGAGA